AGUUUAACUGGGGCGGUUGCCUCCCAAAAUGUAACGGAGGCGCCCAAAGGUUCCCUCAGCCUGGUUGGCAAUCAGGUGUUGAGUGUAAGUGCACAAGGGAGCUUGACUGUGAGACUGACAGGUCGAGCAGGGACGAAAGUCGGGACUAGUGAUCCGGCACUGGCUUGUGGAAGCGGUGUCGCUCAACGGAUAAAAGGUACCCCGGGGAUAACAGGCUGAUCUUCCCCAAGAGUCCAUAUCGACGGGAUGGUUUGGCACCUCGAUGUCGGCUCGUCGCAUCCUGGGGCUGGAGUAGGUCCCAAGGGUUGGGCUGUUCGCCCAUUAAAGCGGCACGCGAGCUGGGUUUAGAACGUCGUGAGACAGUUCGGUCUCUAUCCGCCGCGCGCGUAGAAACUUGAGGAAGGCUGUCCCUAGUACGAGAGGACCGGGACGGACGUACCUCUGGUGUGCCAGUUGUCCCGCCAGGGGCACGGCUGGUUAGCUACGUUCGGAAGUGAUAACCG
rnacentral:rRNA from 1 species